rnacentral:lncRNA from 1 species
GGAAGAACCGCCCAAAAUUACACUACACCGGUUUUUGGUGGCCGGUGCCCAAAAAAACUCGUACGCACCUGUUCUUCCAACCCCUUAUAAACGGUACCAUCCAAAAUCGGUCAAAACCGGUGAAAUAAAAACUCCAAGCAGGCCCUAAGGAUCGGUUGUCAACGCCGUGGAGGAGGAACUGAAGUUGCCAUCUACCUAAAUUCUGGAAUCCGAGGGAUUCGCAGCCUACACUUACAUCGAAAUCUACAUAUACGAACACAACUCCCUCGUCCUCUACUUUGACUUCAAAUAGACUCGUCAGUGAAAGCAACAAAAAACAUGAGGAGCUGCAGAAGCGUCUAUUUAUAUUACUGGGCUGUGGGGUUUAAUAUUAUUGUUGUGCUAUAAAACAAGACAAAGAAUUUCAGCAAUCAGAAUUUUCACACUUUUCAUUUGUUCUUUGACAGUUUAUUUCUUCAUCUUCAAGUUUGCCCAAGUUUAUUGUUUAAUUUUUGAUUUUUUGUUCUCUUCUUUUUUCGUUCGACAGCUGUACAGAGAAUCUCCACCUUCAUCUUCUUCAGCAUCAACUACAGCAAAUUCAGCGAUUCCUUAAUAAGGUAAUUAGCCCAUAGUCUUGCGGCUUAUGAUUAUAAUUCUUGUAAUUUUUUAUGAAGUUUUUAUGGGUUGAAAUAUUGCCAAAUUUAUUUAGUCAAGAUCCCAUUUCUCCCUGUUGAUAAAUUAGGGGUUAAUGAAUUUGAGAAGCAGGUUUUAGUAUCGUUUUGAUUUUGAAUUUUUUUUUAAAAAUCAAAAUUGAACAAUUCCAAUUAUUUGUUAAGGAAAUUUGCCAACAAUCUUACGCCUUACUGUAUAAAUUAGUUUACAAUUCCUUUGAUUUGUUAUGAAGGUUUAAUGGGAUUUAAGUGUCGCAUAAUUAAUUUAUUCAGGAGCCCUUUUCCUGUUUCACAAACUAUUUUAUUUUUCAUAAGUUCGAGACUUGCAUUUUAGUGCCGUUUUAAUUUUGAAUUUUUUGGUUCAAUUGAUACUAUCUUUGAGCUGCAAUUCACAUCAAUUUGUCAAUUUUUUUUAUAUCUGAAUACAUUUUAAGGAGUAGGAUUUCUCAACUAAUUUUUGGGUACUGGGGUAUUAUGGGAAUGGGCUGGUUAGUUCAGGGCAAUGGUUAGGCCAAGGUUUUGAGAAGAGUUAUUUGAAGAAGUAUGGGAAGAAAGAGCGUUGGUCUACAUUUUUGAGUCUUUGGCGUUCUUGCAGAUUCUCUUUUUUCGCCUUCUCUAUUGAUCCUGCUUAAGUUUUAUAGCUAUAGAUUUAUACCUUUAAUUUUUAUAGACUUGAUGCAAGAAGAUGUGAUGUGAAUGAUACUGCGUGAUUGAUGAUUCAGGUUCUUGAUUUAUGAUUUAUUGUUAGAUGUGAAAGUUUUUAUAAAUUGAUUUGUGGGGAAUUUCUUCAUGUGUUCUUGGUUAUUUGGUGAAAAUAAGUGUUAAUUAUCUGUUUAUUUUUUUGCUUCUAUAGCAAGUUGGUUGAAUUGAUGGAUAUAGUGGUGUACUAUUUAUUUGUUGAGUAAAUGUUCCAAAAAAAAAGAAUCGUUUUUUCAGUUUAUUUCUUAUCAGUUCGUGUAGAAUAUUUGCAUUUCCUUUAAUGAGUCUACAUUUUCUCUUUACAGGUCAUUUGCCUGAAGUUUAACUUGUACUUCUUAUUUCUACCUAUGAUGCUCGGACUCCUCAUCUUUGGAGAAGUAUCCUUCUCGACACGACAUGACAUGACAUAGAUACCGACAGGGAUAUGAAUCGAAUCUUUGGUUUUGCACUCGGACACGGCAACACAAGGGAGAAGAAGGUGGAAGGUGGAGUCUUGCUUCUUGAUUUCUACUUUUGGCUCUACGGAGAGAAGGCUGGAGAAGAUGAGGACUGGGGAAGACGAAAAGGUGAUGACUACGGACUACCCUAAUUGAUUAUAUUGGGCUGGACCAAAUUAGGGGCUCUUUAAAGUCCAAUACAUAGAGUUAAUCAAUUGUAAUUGUUUGGUGAGAUCUAUAUAAUUUGAGGUUUAUUUGGUAUUAAAUUUCAUCUGUGUGAACUUUUUAUUUUGCAAUUAAAAUAACUUAGCA